rnacentral:lncRNA from 1 species
CGGGGUUUCACCAUGUUGGCCAUGCUGGUCUUGAACUCCCGGCCUCAAGUGAUCCUCCCGCCUCAGCCUCCCAGAGUGCUGGAAUUACAGGCCUGAGCCACCGUGCCUGGCCCCUGAUUGGUCUUGACAGGUGUUUUUAAUGUCCCAAGUCUCCGUAAAUGUGGGAUGGAGCUUCUCUCAGAGGCUCUUCCCCCCAACUCCCAACCAGGUGGAAUCGUCUUCCAGAACAAAAUCUCCCAGUGCUUUGUGGUGUACUGAAAUCAUGUCUAAGAACAGAGAACUUAACAGUCACAUGCCUUUUUAAAAACUGGAAUAGGCUGGGCGCGG